GACGAACGCUGGCGGCGUGCUUAACACAUGCAAGUCGAACGGAAAGGCCUGCUUUCCCUUGUGGAUUGCGGGUACUCGAGUGGCGAACGGGUGAGUAACACGUGAGUGAUCUGCCCCCAACUUGGGUAUAAGCCUGGGAAACUGGGUCUAAUUCCCGAUAGGACUGCAGGGUGGUGCCUGUGGUGGAAAACGAUUUUCUAGUGGUUGGGGAUGAGCUCGCGGCCUAUCAGCUUGUUGGUGGGGUAAUGGCCUACCAAGGCGGCGACGGGUAGCCGGCCUGAGAGGGUGGACGGCCACAUUGGGACUGAGAUACGGCCCAGACUCCUACGGGAGGCAGCAGUGGGGAAUAUUGCACAAUGGGCGGAAGCCUGAUGCAGCGACGCUGCGUGGGGGAUGACGGCCUUCGGGUUGUAAACUCCUUUCGACCGCGAGGAAGCCACCUGGUUGGAAGGGUGGUGACGGUAGUGGUAGAAGAAGCACCGGCUAACUACGUG
rnacentral:rRNA from 1 species